CGGUAAUUCCAGCCCCUAUAGCGUAUACUAAAGUUGUUGCAGUUAAAAAGCUCGUAGUUGGAUUUCUGCGGGGACGGAGCGGCCGGACGCAACUUGCGUCUCGAGCUAGCGCUUUCCCCGCAUCCUGCCGCGAACCGUGCUACUAUUAGUUUGGUGGUGCUGGGGAUCGGCUCGAUUACUUUGAGAAAAAUAGAGUGUUCAAAGCAGGCCACACGCCUUGAAUAAGUUAGCAUGGAAUAAUGACUAAGGACUUUGGUUCUUUUCGUUGGUGUUCGGGACUGAAGUAAUGAUUGAUAGGGACAGUUGGGGCGGUCCGUAUUCCAAAGCGAGAGGUGAAAUUCUUAGACCUUCGGAAGACAAACAGCUGCGAAAGCGUUCCGCAAGGAUGUUCCCUUUGAUCAAGAACGAAAGUUGGGGGAUCGAAGACGAUCAGAUACCGUCGUAGUCUCAACUAUAAACUAUACCAGCUAGGGAUCGGCCAACGUUUAAUUAUUCGACUUGGUCGGCACCUUAUGAGAAAUCAAAGCGUCUGGGUUCCGGGGGGAGUAUGGUCGCAAGGCUGAAACUUAAAGGAAUUGACGGAAGGGCACCACCAGCCGUGGAGCCUGUGGCUUAAUUUGACUCAACACGGGAAAACUUACCAGGUCCAGACAUGGGAAGGAUUGACAGAUUGAUAGCUCUUUCUUGAUUCUGUGGGUGGUGGUGCAUGGCCGUUUUUAGUCGGUGAAGUGAUUUGUCUGCUUAAUUGCGUUAACGGACGAGACCCCAGCCUGCUAAAUAGCGCGGCCGAGCUUUGCUCGGUGCGAGCUUCUUAGAGGGACCAUGAUGCGCGAUAGCACAAGGAAGUUUGGGGCAACAACAGGUCUGUGAUGCCCUUAGAUGUUCUGGGCCGCACACGGGCUACACUGGCGCCUGCAACGAGCAUAUCAGCUGGCCCGAGAGGGUCUUGGCUAAUCUUUGGAACCGGCGCCGUGCUUGGGAUUGACCAUUGCAAUUGUUGGUCAUGCAACGAGGAAUGCCUUGUAAACGCGAGUCAUCAGCUCGCAUUGAAUACGUCCCUGCCCUUUGUACACACCGCCCGUCGCUCCUACCGAUGAAUGUUCCGAUGAAAUUUUCGGAGAGCGCCAGAGAACGGGGCUCUGCCUUGCAGAUCUGGAGGCUCAAAGUCACUUAAAUCUGAACAUUUCGAGGAAGGAGAAGUCGUAACAAGGUUUCCGUAGGUGAACCUGCAGAAGGAUCA
rnacentral:rRNA from 1 species